rnacentral:rRNA from 1 species
AGCAAUGGCGUGGGCGCAGCCUGAGCAGCCUGCCGCGUGAGUGAUGAAGGCCUUAGGGUUGUAAAGCUCUUUCCCGGGGAAGAUAAGGACGGUAUCCGGAGAAGAAGCCCCGGCUAACUUCGUGCCAACAACCGCGGUAAUACUAAGGGGGCUAGCGUUGUUCGGAAUUACUGGGCGUAAAGCGCACGUGGGCUGAUAUUUAAAUCACGGGUGAAAUCCCAUAGCUCAACUCUGGAACUGCCCUUGAUACUGGGUAUCUUGAGUGUGGAAGAGGUUGGUGGAAUUCCGAGUGUAGAGGUGAAAUUCAUAUAUAUUCGGAGGAACACCAUUGGCAAAGGCGGCUUACUGGUCCAUUACUGACGCUGAGGUGCUAAA